rnacentral:rRNA from 1 species
GAUGAACGCUAGCGGCAGGCCUAACACAUGCAAGUCGAGGGGUAGUUGUCUUCGGACAAUGAGACCGGCGCACGGGUGCGUAACGCGUAUGCAAUCUACCUUAUACUAAGGGAUAGCCCAGAGAAAUUUGGAUUAAUACCUUAUAGUAAUAGAGUUGGCAUCGACUUUAUUAUAAAGAUUAAUUGGUAUAAGAUGAGCAUGCGUCCCAUUAGUUAGUUGGUAAGGUAACGGCUUACCAAGACGAUGAUGGGUAGGGGUCCUGAGAGGGGGAUCCCCCAGCAUGGUAAUGAGACACGGUCCAGACUCCUACGGGAGGCAGCAGUAAGGAAUAUUGGUCAAUGGGCGCAAGCCUGAACCAGCCAUGCCGCGUGCAGGAUGAAGCAUCUAUGGUGUGUAAACUGCUUUUGUACGGGAAGAAAAAAAGCUACGUGUAGCUUACUGACGGUACCGUAAGAAUAAGGAUCGGCUAACUCCGUGCCAGCAGCCGCCGUAA